AAAUUAAGUAAUUCAAUGGCUCCCUACAGACAUGAUUAUUUCAUGAAAAUUGAUUUGCACACAAAGGGUCAAGAAUUAGAGUAUCAGAAAAAUCUAAACUACGUGCGAAGCAUCGAUCUAUCGGCUAACGAGCUAUCAGGAGAAAUUCCUGUACAAAUGUUCGAGCUCACCAAGUUACAAUCCUUGAACUUGUCUUAUAAUUAUCUAAGUGGAGAGAUACCAGAGCUAAUCGGAGAGAUGAAAAAUCUAGAAUCUCUUGAUUUCUCCCAUAACAAUCUUCAUGGGAGUAUUCCUCAGAGCAUGUCUGGCUUAUCUUUCCUAAGUGACUUGAAUCUGUCUUACAACCACUUGAAUGGACAAAUUCCAUCGGGCACUCAGCUUCAGAGCUUUGAUGCUUGGAGUUACAUUGGAAAUCUUGAACUUUGUGGACCUCCUCUUCAAAAGAACUGCACAAUACCAAAGAAAACAGACAAUACAGGGCAGGUUGAAGGAAAUGAGGAUGAUGCUUUCUUGAAGUCAAUGUAUCUUGGAAUGGGAUUGGCUUUGCUGUGGGAUUCUGGGUAGUUUCUGGUUCUCUGUUCCUGAACAGAGCAUGGAGGCACACUUAUUUUCGAUUUUUUAAUGGUGUGGUUGAUCAAAUCUAUGUCACUGUGGCCAUAAAACUUCGGAGAUUUGGUUGAAUGGGAAUAUGCUACAGCUCCAGAGUUAGAGCGGACUCAUAUCAUUCAUGCUUAUUUCUAAAAGCAAUAGGCAGUUGAUUCCAGAUUUUCAAGACUCGUCGUUGCUUAUGAUCCUUGAUUGAUGGAAGUUUGGAUGAAGCUUUCGUACAUGGUGGCAACCUCAAUAAGUAUUCAGAUGUUUUCGGUGGUGUUUUGUAAUUUGUGUCUGUCAUUGUGCUUACUGAUUGAUUUGGCUGUUUAGAAAAAUUUGGCAAAGACUUGAGAGGGGAAACGUUGAGAAGGACUUGACAUGGAUGAUGAUCUGUUUUUUUAAAGGCGUGAGAGGGUAUUUAUUAUCUUUCCAAUUCAUGUUUAAAGAUAAGGAUUGAUAUGGAAAAUUUUUCAUUUACAACAACAAAGUUUAUGAUUCAAGGCAGCAAAAAAAGUAGAUUUUUCAUCCUUUAACUUUAAAAAUAGUUUGAUUUCUUAAUUUUAUAAAAUAUCUUUUCAAUCCUCCAAUCCUAACAUGACUAAUGUCAAAUAAUGGUAAUUUUUUAUACCAAUCAUUGUAAUUUUAAGAAAUUAAAUUUAACAUAAUACCUAUGUCAAGUUUCUUAUAUUCAUUAUAUUAAGUUUUUCAAUUACAUUUUGCCAUAUGUUUUUUUUUUUUAAUAUCAACCCAUAUAAAAAAGAUACAUGGAAAAGUAUGAUUUGAGAAUUCGAUAUAAUAGUCAUAAGAAGCUUGACCUCAAUUUUUUCCUUAAAUUUAAUAUAUCAGCAUUUAUGAAUGUUUUGUCAAUAUUUAAAAUUUUAAUAUCAGUAUUUUUUACUAAUAAAACGCAUGGUGUUAGAGUUAAAGGGCUGA